rnacentral:rRNA from 1 species
GUCCACGCCCUAAACGAUGUCAACUAGGUGUUGGGAGGGUAAACCUUUAGUACCGGAGCUAACGCGUGAAGUUGACCGCCUGGGGAGUACGGCCGCAAGGUUAAACUCAAAGGAAUUGACGGGGACCCGGCACAAGCGGUGGAUGAUGUGGAUUAAUUCGAUGCAACGCGAAAAACCUUACCUACCCUUGACAUGUCCGGAAGCCCUUAGAGAUUUGGGUGUGCUCGAAAGAGAGCCGGAACACAGGUGCUGCAUGGCUGUCGU